ACUUCAUCAUGACCUACUCAAUCAUGAAGGACUGCUCAUUCACAUGCACUACAUUACUGUACUCUGCUUUUCUUCUUUGUUUCACUCUCAUCCUGUAAGCUCCAUUGCCAGACCACCAUCUUCUUUUGAUCAUAUACUUGGACAAGAGAAUGGGUGUGUUGCUCCUCCUGAUAACAAUAAUCUGCACGGCGACAUCCCGCUAUCGAUCGGACUGCACUGAUGUGCUCUUCGAGCUUGCUCCCUGCCUUGACUAUGUGACUGAUGCUUCAACCUGUCCAUCCUUGGACUGCUGCAAGCAGUUAACCAAUGUGAUCAAGACUCAGCCUCUCUGCCUUUGUGCUGUCUUCGAUGGAACAGCAUCGAAGCUGCUUGGAGUCCCCAUUGACACCGACCGUGCCAUCAAUCUCCCUGAAGCGUGCCAAGAAGAAGAAGAAGAGUUACCUCAGGCCUUGCCAACUUCAGCAGCUCUAAGAAAUCAUAUCCCUGCCGUGCCACCACCUGCUGGAAUUCCUUGAGAAGAUGGUGAAAGAGGAUCACUUGGAGAGAAACAUCCUAAGCUGCUAAAAUCUCAAGCUACCUGCUUAUUUCUCAGAGACCUCACUCACUUGCUGUGCUCGGACAAUUAGAACCUCCUUAUUAGCUGCUGAAUGCAGUUGUCUGGUUGUGCUCUGUUGUCAUAUCUCUUCAUGUUAGUUGUUUGUCCACUCUCUGUUCAUAUCAGUUUGGAAGGGUUUUGAUGCAUCAGAUUCA